AAGGGGGUACUUUUUGGAGGUCUUGAGCUCAACGUAAUGCAGGUUGGGAUUUUCGGCAUUGGAUGCAUCUUCUUCAAUUGUUCCAUCAUCACUAUGAACAUCGCUUUCUUUAGCACUGCAGGGCUUUUUGUCCCAAAUACAAUCGACCUCGCCUGCGAGUAUCAAUUUUGACUUGCCGAUAUUGAUCUUGACAAUGGAGCAAUACUGCUCGUCGGGCACAACAUCUUGGUUGUCACGUUGCUCAAUUUGGUCUCUCGAACAAGCAUCCCAUAUUUCCGGAAGUGUGGAAAUGGCUUCAAACUUAUAACCCCAGUAACACAUUCGGUCUUGGUUGGCAUAACUAGUUUCCGAUCGAGUUCGCUCUUCCAUCAUAAUAAUUCCACUGGUGGGAUCCAUAACCAGAUAAGUUUCCCAAUGGUUUCUGGGAUCCAAAGGAGCGCACAUAAUUUUUGUAAUUAAACCACGCCAAGUAAGAAAGCUGGAAUUCAUCUGAAUGCCUUUAGUCAUGAGCACGUCCUUUACAAUAGAAAUAGGAUCAGGGUCGGAUUUAGGAGGGUGAAACCUAUUAGGAAAUCCCGUGUUCAGAUCGGAAAAUAACGGUGGAGGAUAAUAAUAACUUAACUUGCUAUCAUCAAGCAGCAGUUCGCGAUCUCUCGAUAAACUAUAACAGGCAAUUUCCAAAGGCUCCGAAACCGGUGGCACGUGAGCAGGAGGCACAUCGUAAAACGAAAAUUCACGAAGCAUGAAGCACGACGAAAUAAAACUGAAUGAAGUUCAAAGAUUUCAACAGCAAUGUACGCAUAGACUUGGAAUAUUAUGGUAAAGAGUGCAAAGAGAAAAAGCAGAUGUGGUUUACCCAAUGUCAAACAAGGGAAUAGUCAGAAAUAUUAGAAAAAGAGAGAUGGAAAAAGAAAAGAUAUUGAUACCAUGAAUUAAAUGUCUCGACCAACUGGAUUUUACACCAAUUGUGCUGUCGUGCACGAAAUUGGUGGUGGAGCUACCUAAGAUUCUACCUUGUACCGAAUAACACAAUGCGAUAGAAUACAAUACGGCAAGAUGACUAUUGAAAAUGCUAAUUACAAUUUGGAUAAAGAAAAGAGACGCUGACUAAAAAUUAAUGUAAAACGUUAUCUACUAGUUUAUGUGCUUUACCAUUCUUAUCUUUAUUUUAUAUACCGUGUACAUUUAGCUCUGCUAUCAUUAUAUAACAAAUAUCAAUGACUGCACGUAAAUAUACAUUAGGAUUACAAGUUUUAAUAUGUUAAGUGGUGAUUUGCAAUCCCUUUGAUCACGUUAACUUAUUAUUAUGACGCGCAAUUCAUUCACGCUAACCUAAGAUUAUCAAAAAAUUAUCAGUCCAAAGAUUGAUCAAGCUUGGUCAAGCUAAAUUAUGGAGUGUUAGUGACUUGAAGCGAUCGUCGAACCUUUCGUCAAAUAUCAAACGAGGAAUGGUUGUAAACAUUUUAGACAAUAACUUAUAAAUUGCUAUAUAGCGUGUCAUCAAACCCCCCUAGUGCGUUAUUCUACAGGGAAGCAAAGGAAAGAGAAAUACAAACGAUUUGUUAUUAGAAAAGUAAUUUGGUAGAAGCUACAAAUGUAGGGUAAUUUUGAAAGAGAAAAGGAAAUGUAUUUCAUGAAGGGGACGCAUUAGAAUUUACUA